AUUGAACGCUGGCGGCAGGCCUAACACAUGCAAGUCGAACGAGUGGCGGACGGGUGAGUAAUGUCUGGGAAACUGCCUGAUGGAGGGGGAUAACUACUGGAAACGGUAGCUACUACCGCAUACCAUCAGAUGUGCCCAGAUGGGAUUAGCUAGUUGGUGGGGUAACGGCUCACCAAGGCGACGAUCCCUAGCUGGUCUGAGAGGAUGACCAGCAACACUGGAAAUGAGACACGGUCCAGACUCCUACGUGAGGAAGGAGGGGGGAAUAUUGCCCAAUGGGCGCAAGCGUGAUGCAGCCAUGCCGCGGGUAUGAAGAAGGCCUGCGGGUUGUAAAGGACUUUCAGCGGGGAGGCGUUACCCGCAGAAGAAGCACCGGCUAACUCCGUGCCAGCCGCCGCGGUAAUAC
rnacentral:rRNA from 1 species